rnacentral:lncRNA from 1 species
GGGGGGAAAGGCACGGGGAGGGGGGGUCUGAAUGGGGCAUCAACGGCUUCCGGCUUCCGCCACAACCAUCCUUUGAAUAACUGAAUACACAUUUUCCAAGAGCUCCCAGCGCCUAAAGGACACUCAUGAGCUGGCGCAUAGCACCACUGGGACCCAGCUUUAUGUCCCGACGCCCCAUCCUCGGUGGCAAACUCCAACGUCUGCAGAGCCCAUCAGGCAGGAAAGAUGAAGGGCAAAGCCAGCCGGAGAUGAGGAACUGAGGCACGGAGAGGGCUAGCCAAGCAAGAAAUGAGAGAGCUCCAACUCCAACCGGACCAGUUGCUUCACGGCCACUCUGACCCUCUGUGGGAACCCUCCAGAAGGUACCA